GUGAUUCCUGUGCCUUACAAAGAUGCAGAUACUCAAGGUAUUUUUGAUGCUUGUGUUGCCACUGUGGCAACCCUCUCAGAUGCUGGCAUUCGUGCUGAAGCUGAUCUUAGAGAUAACUACUCACCUGGUUGGAAGUAUUCAAACUGGGAAAUGAAAGGUGUUCCCCUAAGGAUUGAAAUAGGACCUAGAGACUUAGCAAAUAAUCAGGUGAACCCCCCCUUUUUUUUGGAUGCUGCUUUCCUUCUAUUCUUUUAUUUAUUAAUUUGCUAUUGUACUUAUACAGUUAAAACCAGAAAAGUGCUUUAUUUGACAGGUACGUGCAGUUCGCCGUGACAAUGGAGCAAAAACUGAUAUCUCAAGAGUCUUUUUGGUUGAACAAGUAAAAGGAAUGUUGGAUAAGAUUCAACAGAACCUGUUUGACGUUGCAAAACAAAAACGAGAUGCCUGUGUUGAAGUUUUAAAAACUUGGGAAGAGUUUGUAACAGCUCUUGGGCAAAAGAAACUGAUCUUAGCUCCUUGGUGUGAUGAGGAGGUAUGACUUGAAUUUGCAGAAUCCUUAUUCUUUACAGGGACCAUGACUAUUUAGUAUUUAAUCAGUGUUCCUUUAGUGCUUAUCUGCUACACUUAGUCUUUGCAUUGAAUCAUUAGGCUGAAGUGUUUUGUUGGUUAUAAAAAUGAGUUGGAUCAUAUUUAGAACGUCAUUAAUUUCCAAGAUUACCUCUCCAGGCAUUUGUUGGUUAGAAUGGGUCUUGCUCAGUUUCAUAAAAGACUUUUAAUGUAGGUAUGACUUGAAUUUGCAGAAUCCUUAUUCUUUACAGGGACCAUGACUAUUUAGUAUUUAAUCAGUGUUCCUUUAGUGCUUACCUGCUACACUUAGUCUUUGCAUCGAAUCAUUAGGCUGAAGUGUUUUGUUGGCUAUAAAAAUGAGUUGGAUCAUAUUUAGAACGUCAUUAAUUUCCAAGAUUUCCUCUCCAGGCAUUUGUUGGAUAGAAUGGGUCUUGCUCAGUUUCAUAAAAGACUUUUAAUGUUUUGUAUAAAUGUAGGAUGUGGAGAAAGACGUGAAAGCACGAACGAAGGGUGAUAUGGGAGCAGCUAAGUCUCUUUGUACCCCGUUUGAACAGCCUGAACUCCCAGAAGGUAAAGCAGGCAUUUAUUUUAAACAGUAGGAUACUUUCCCUCCCUCAUAAUACUAGUAGUAUUUUGUUUUUUAAUAAACUGUUACUGCACCAGCAUGCACUAAUCAGCAACUGCCAAGAAUCUUAAUCUGUGACAAACUACAAAAAAUUAUUGGAAAUUUAGAGAAAUCAUACUACAUUAAGAGGAAUAAGAGAUAAUAAAUUAAUAUUAAUCAGUAGUUCAAUUAAUUUGAAGGAUUAAGUAAAAAUCCGGCACCCAGUGAGCUUGGUUCAGGUAAGAUGUGAUUGCAAAUGUGUCAUUGUGAUUGAACCUGAAGCUUAGCUCAGUUGGUUCAUGUAAUCACUCUUAAGAAGUGGUAUCUAAUAAAUCUAGGGUUCCAAUCUCAGCACCUGCAUCCCCCUCUCUUCUCCAGGCUGCAACCACUUUCGUAUCAAAAAAGAAAAGCUUACUUAAUCCUUUUGUAACACAGUCUUUUCUCAUUUAGAAUUUUUUAAAUUUCUCCUUACAUUAGUAUUGAGGGAAUUCAUGUGUAAAUGCUGUUUGAUUAUUUGUAACCUUACAUCCACAAAAAGAAAAGAGGAGAUUAUACGUCUUCUAUAGAAUUCUCUUCUCAUCAAAAAUGAAAUUAUGCAGGUACUAAAUGCUUUGCCUCUGGGAAGCCUGCAAAGAAAUGGACCUAUUGGGGUAGAAGUUACUAAGAUUAUUCUCUUUUUAUGACCAUCUCCUUCACAUUGUCCUCUGUCUGAUGUCAGCUGUGCUGGUGUGUGGACCAUUCUUAACAGGAUAAUUUUCAAUUUGAAAUUGUUAUAUGAAACUGAUGAGAGUACUUGGUUUUAUUAUCAUAUAGUUAAGAGUUCACUUCGAUGCAUGGUGGGAGAACUCCCACCGCGCCGCGCAUGUCAUUUUAUUCAUUGGACCCUUGGAGGUUAAGUCAUAAAAAUGCAAUUACGGCGCGGUGAAAGUCUCUCUCACUAUGUUACCAAAGGGACAUUAAAACUUGUGGGAAUUUUUUUUUUUUAAUUUUCGCCAAGGGUGUAUUGUAGAACUUUUGCUUUGCUACAAUUGAUUUACUGCUCUAUUUGUGAUAUUACAAUAUUAGAAUAUGGUGAUGGUACUUGAAGGUUAUAAGUUUCUUGUUUGGAUUCAUUUGGUGAUGGCUUUGACUUUUAUUUCUCUGUCAUUGUUUCCUGAUACUGUUCAUUAGUGGAUUGUUCUUCAAUUGAAGCAGUUGAAGGAGAAUUUCACGAAUUACAAUGACACGUAAAUGAUAUCAAAAAAUAUUAAAAUAAUAUGAUUUAAAAUUUUAGUAAAAAUAAUAUGUUAAGUUUAAUAAGAAUAAAAAAUAUAUAUUUCGUAUUUUUUUUUGUUAAUAUUAGUUGUAAUACAAAAUUUUUAUAUAAAAUAUGAUAUGAAUUUAUGAAUUAUUAAUGUUUUUAUAACAUAAAUACAUGAAUUAAUUUUUUUACAUGAGUAAAUGUCACUCAUCUGUCAUUUCUUUUUGGUGAUUAAAACAUGCAGAAUGGCAAAAUAGUUAAACUGUAGUAUGGAUGUCCUCAUUUCCAACUGGUCAAAAUUUACCAUUAAGGCUCGUGCCUGGCCUCAAACAUUUAAACGUAAAACUUACUCUCAUUGGUUAUAGCCAAAAAUAACCAAAAAUUUUCAACUUCACAAUGUAAUAAAUUUUGAAUCCAAAAAUUAAUUCAGUUGAUUCAUACAAUCAUCUUUAAAAGAUAGUAUAUAACAUAUUUGAAGUUCAAAUAAUUUGUAAUUCAUUCUUCUAUUCCUAGGUUACAACCUUCUUUAUAUAUAUAUAAAGAAUAAAUUCCUGGCUAAAUUCAUCGGUUCGUUUCUAUUCUGACCACAAAUAACUGGCAGGUCAUUGAACAUGGCGGCAAAAACAUAUCUCAUUGGACUUCAAGCAAUGCUCCUUGAUUCACUUCAUCACCAUCAAGAAGUUCCUGGAUUAUUUGAUUGAUAGCAUUUCCUCGAGCCUAUGUUUUGUAAGACAAAUAUUUCAGCACACAAUCAAAACCACAACAGGAUAAGACAAUCUGCAAAGCGGAAACCCCUAACCUUUACUCCAAUUGCAAUUGCUGUUUUUAGCUUUACAAGCUCACCCAAUCUUAGGGACCCCUUUUUAUCAUCUCUAACAAUCAUCAAUGGUACCUUCCUUGACAAAGCCAACGUUGGCAGGUGCUUUAUUAGCCACUUUGGAUUGCAAUCAGCAGCUAACAAAAUAGCCUACAAGCUCAAAAAACAUAUAGCAAACCUUAAGCAGUGCUUGUGAAAACAUGACAGCUAAGGAUCCACAUGGAUGGAUGGCGAGAUUCAAAACAGCGGUGGUAAUGAGAUUACAUGAAGUUUAAUACGCAAGCAGUAAGAUUAAAAUCAAUGAUGAAAAUAUGUAAUUGAAUAUAAACGCAAAGUGAUAGGAAGAUUGAGUAUAACAAUCGGUUGCCUCACUAAAGCCAAUUGAUUGUCACAAUUGCAAAAUGUCUUCAUUUUCAUUUUUACGCUAAGGCAGUCGACUGCUCUAGGAUCUAGAUGUUCACUGAAUCCUUUCCCCCAGCCAACUGCACCGCCGGGUGCUUUUGGUUAGCAUCAUGCGGUGCACUUGGCCCAAAAAAAGGUUGCGAUGGAAUCAAAACUAGCCCUUAGUAUAACAAACAUAUUGCAAUAAACAACUAAGUAUAGAUUGUUAUAAAAGGCAUGACAGAUCACUCAAAAUUUAAAUCUAGAAACAGGGAAGCCAACCUGAAGCCUAACACAAGGAGAUUGAGCAGAGCUUCCAUUCUCAACAGUGGGUGCCAUCCGUUCAAGUACACGAGUCACAUCAUUAACACCAAUGGCAAAUUGUUGCUAAUAACAAUGCACCAAAUACAAUAUAACAAUCAGAAUAUAAUAAAACCACAAGGAUCAUCAAAGAAAAUCAAUAAAGCAUUGAACAAGAGAUCAAACCUUAAGCCAUACUUUUUCAGGCAAGGAGUUUUCAGCCAAUGCUCUUGCUGACUCUACCCCUCUGUUCAUUGCAAUAACUUCAACUAUUACCUCUGAAAAAGAACAAGAAUUUGAAUACCAAAAAAGGGUAUUCUUUAAUUAUUGAUAAUGUGUUCGAAUCGUUUACCUUUGGAUUGAUUUAAGCACGUGAACAAGACGCUCCCCUUCAUAACAACUGCCAAGAGAAAAAAUAAAGAAAUUAAAUCAAAGACCCAAAAUUUGCAUAAAAUCCAAUGAAACAAAGGCAGACUUACUCUUGCUGCUGAGGAACGGAACCGUCAAGAAUGUUGUUUUUGGCUGCCUUAUUUCUAGCCGUCAUGUUUCAUUUUAGAGUUCGCUACUUGUUUGAUGAAAAGANNNNNNNNNNNNNNNNNNNNNNNNNNNNNNNNNNNNNNNNNNNNNNNNNNNNNNNNNNNNNNNNNNNNNNNNNNNNNNNNNNNNNNNNNNNNNNNNNNNNNNNNNNNNNNNNNNNNNNNNNNNNNNNNNNNNNNNNNNNNNNNNNNNNNNNNNNNNNNNNNNNNNNNNNNNNNNNNNNNNNNNNNNNNNNNNNNNNNNNNNNNNNNNNNNNNNNNNNNNNNNNNNNNNNNNNNNNNNNNNNNNNNNNNNNNNNNNNNNNNNNNNNNNNNNNNNNNNNNNNNNNNNNNNNNNNNNNNNNNNNNNNNNNNNNNNNNNNNNNNNNNNNNNNNNNNNNNNNNNNNNNNNNNNNNNNNNNNNNNNNNNNNNNNNNNNNNNNNNNNNNNNNNNNNNNNNNNNNNNNNNNNNNNNNNNNNNNNNNNNNNNNNNNNNNNNNNNNNNNNNNNNNNNNNNNNNNNNNNNNNNNNNNNNNNNNNNNNNNNNNNNNNNNNNNNNNNNNNNNNNNNNNNNNNNNNNNNNNNNNNNNNNNNNNNNNNNNNNNNNNNNNNNNNNNNNNNNNNNNNNNNNNNNNNNNNNNNNNNNNNNNNNNNNNNNNNNNNNNNNNNNNNNNNNNNNNNNNNNNNNNNNNNNNNNNNNNNNNNNNNNNNNNNNNNNNNNNNNNNNNNNNNNNNNNNNNNNNNNNNNNNNNNNNNNNNNNNNNNNNNNNNNNNNNNNNNNNNNNNNNNNNNNNNNNNNNNNNNNNNNNNNNNNNNNNNNNNNNNNNNNNNNNNNNNNNNNNNNNNNNNNNNNNNNNNNNNNNNNNNNNNNNNNNNNNNNNNNNNNNNNNNNNNNNNNNNNNNNNNNNNNNNNNNNNNNNNNNNNNNNNNNNNNNNNNNNNNNNNNNNNNNNNNNNNNNNNNNNNNNNNNNNNNNNNNNNNNNNNNNNNNNNNNNNNNNNNNNNNNNNNNNNNNNNNNNNNNNNNNNNNNNNNNNNNNNNNNNNNNNNNNNNNNNNNNNNNNNNNNNAUGAUUGAACCCAAAUUACAAGAAAAAAAACUAGUCUGUAAGACCAACUUAACUAAUUCUUAUGAAAGUUGACGCAGUUAAUGUAAUACCUAUAAAUAGAUUUGACGAUUUAUGUAUUCUUGUCGUGUAAAAUAUUUAAAUCUGUGUAUUCAUAUUGUAUUUUAAAGAAAAUUAUUUAUCACAAUUUGUGUUGACACGAAAAUAUGAAAUAUAAAUUUUUUGUUAACUUAUUUAUAGUUAUUGCUAAAAUUUUAAAUCAUAUUAUUUUUUAUAUAUUUUUAUAUUAUGUUCGAGUUGUAUUAUUAUGUCAUAUUUUAAAUUAUCAAAUCUAUUUAUAAACUGAUGGUAUGUUCUAAUUUGCAGAUGUAAACAGUAAACAUCGGACAUGAAAUAGAAGCUAAACAAGCUAAUCCUAAAGUCUGAUACUUGUGAUCCUUGUCUUGAACCAUUUAUUAUUUAAUUCUUACUUCUAAUAGAGAGUUCAGCUACAAUGAUAGAAACUCAUUGUAAAUUGGAAAAAGCCGUUUAAUAAAAAUGGAACACAGAAAUUUAUCUACCAUUUUCUUGUUCUUCUCUCAAAGGAUCAUCAUGGGUGGAUCCAUGUGUAUUUGUGUAGGGUGUUUUUAUGUACAUCUUUUAAAGAUUAAAAUAUAAAAUUUUGAAAAAAAAAAAUUUCUCAGACCCUUCCCAAAAUUUUUUCUUUAAACAUCUUUUUCGUUGAUAGAAUUAGUAAAUUCAUCGGUAAUUAUAUAUAUAUAUAUAUAUAUAUUAUAAGUGGACAUCCUCGAAAAAAAAAUUAAAGAUCCGUCAUUAAAUAUCAUUGUCUAUUAGAGUAUAUGAAUAUCUAAUAUGAUAAUCCUUAUGCUAUGUUUGGUGUAUAGGAUCAUGAAUAGGAUAUGAUGAUAAUUAUUUUAUAUUAUAUUUUUUGUUUGUAUGUGAAAAAAAAAAAUAAGAAUAAGAUUACAAGGAGAGAAUUAUUUUUAAUUUGUAGGAAUCAAAUUUAUAUGUUCUAUUAUAUUUUUAAAAAUUAUAUCAAUAAUUAAAUUGUAAAAUUUUAAGAAAUGAUAAUUUGAUCAAUAAUAAAAUUAUUCAAUUAUAAUCUUUGCACACAUUAAAUAUUGAUAUUAUUUAAUCUAAUUCAUUUCAUAUCAUCUUAUCUUAUUUUAUCAUAAUUUUUACACCUAUAAUUAAAGGUAUAGGAUCAAGUUAAGUCUAGAAAGAUACAAGGGAGAGUUAGUCUAGGCAAUUUCAAAAAUACAAUGUAUACGUCGUACCAAUAAAAAAUUAGUAUAAGUUGUUAAGGUUUAAAAUCUGAAUAUAAAAUAUUUAAGAUGACUUGCCUUUCUCUACUCCUAAAUAUUUUAUUUACUAAAAAAAAAAAAACUUGUACGUCAUUUGUACUUCUAAAAAUGUCACAUGGACAUCAUUUAUCCAGAUUAAAUACCCACUUGUCCUAACUACGCUUAGGUGCAUUACACUUUGCAUGAGCCAUGAAGUAACGUAUAAGGUUGGAAGGUAUAUUCCAAGCAUUCUACUCUAAUUUCAAGUUUAACUAAUUACACUAAUUUUUUAUUUUUCACGUACUUAUUUGAGUGUCGGAGCAUGUUUCAAUUAUCCCUUUGAUCCUUAUUUUUUCCUUAAUAGGUCGGAUGUUUCCUCCAUUCAAGUCACAUGAUUGAUUUCACCUCGUUAAUCCAAAAAAUACCCUCUCUCUUCUAAGUGUAUUGCUCAAUGAAAUUUUAAUUUAUUAGCAAUAAAGACAAUUUGUCUUGCCAAGUCAAAUUUAAAUUUUAAAAUUAAAUAUGCAUGCAUGCAGUAGAAGAAAAAAAUUACUUUUUUCUUGAAAAUAAAUAGGAAAAAAUCUAUUAUAAUUGACGGUGUAUAUAUAUAAAAGGAAAGGUCCAUUUAAUUAGUGUAAAAGUUACACAUUUUUUAAUAUAAUUAAAUAUAAGUGUUAUAAAUUUAAUUUUAAUUUAUAAGUUUAAAAAAAUGUAACUCUUAUAUUAAUGUAAGUGAAUCCGGAGUAGGGAUCUAUUUAUAUUAAUGCGACUCUUACAUAUUUUUGGACUUUUGGAUCGAAGUUGCUAAUUUAAAAAUAUUAUUUUAAUUCAAAUGAGUUAUGAAUUUAAAUUAGUCCAAAAAUAAAAAAAUAUAUAAGAUAUACACUAAUGUAAAGUAUAUCCUAACUCUAUAUAUAAAUAAUUGGUUUUUAUUUUUAUUUUUUUGUUGAAAUUCUUUCUUCACUUUGUUGUCAUCGCACUUAUCGGCUUUAGUUUUUCUCUUUAUGAGUUUGAUCCAAUUAAUAAAUGAUUGGUUUAUGUAAUAAUUAUUUUAUACAUCGUUAGUUAUUCAAUAAUGCAAAUCUAAUCUCAUUAUAAAGGAAAUAAAAAAUUAUUGUAUUAUCUAUUUACUUGCAUUUUUUUAACAUUUUGAUUCAUAUAAUAAAAAAAAAAAUUUAUGUAUAGUUAUAUAUAUAUUACUCGACAAGUAAAAGGAAUUAAUAUACAUAGAUUAUCAAAUAUGUUUCUAUAAAAUAACUGAUUUUAUAUAUUUUUACAUAAAUAAAUUGUUUCAUUUAUACAUACUUCCCCAUCUCAUUUUUUUUGGAUUUCUGAAAAUUAUGUACACUUAAAUGCCUUAACUUUUUAUAUUUUAGAAUUAUUUUUAUGUUUUUUUUUUGUUUUGCUUUUUACCGAAAUUAUGAAACUUCAAGUUUAUAAAAAAAAUAAAAUUUAAUAUUGUAUAGACUAAAAUCAAAAUAUUUCCUUUAAACUCCAUAAAAAUCAAUAGAAGACUAAAAUUAUAGGACCGAAGAAGUAUACAGAUUUAUAUAUAUUUGAUGUAGGUUAGUAUAGAUAUUAGAUACUUUCAGUAAAUCAUAAAAUAACACUCAUAAAAAUGUUAAUUUUAAAUAUAUUUUUAAGAUUAAAUGUAUUAAUUUAUUUUUUAGAAUUUUAAAAUUCGUGUAUAUAUAAUUAUAUCAUUAACUGAUAAUGUAUAAUAUUUUUAUAUUGAUAAUGUAAUAAAUAUAAAUUCUAAACAUAUUGCUAACCUAGAGAUAUGUAUACUAAAAACAAAAAAUAGUAAUAUUUUGUAAGCUUCUUUUUCUUAAAAAAAAAAAAAAGAAGAAAGAAAACCAAGUAUAUCAUGGGGAAAUUUAUCUCGAUAUUAAAGUCGAAAAUCUCAAUGACAUGAAAGCUAACAAAAAAAAACAUAUACAUAUUUUGUAAGGAUUAUAUUUGAUAUCAUAUUAGUGUAUAGCGUUAUACGAUGUUAAUAUAUUUAAUUAGUAAAAAAUCUAAAUUUUAGAAACAUUAGAAGUAAAUUUUUUAAAAUUUAAAUAUUUAAUGAUAUUAAAACAAAAUAAUGAUGUAAUGGCUUAUGAAGCACUAAUAGUGUAUAGUAUUUAUACACUAAGAAUAUAUAAUAUAUAAAUACAUAUAUGAAAGGAAUUUAUAUUUGAUGGUUGUCAAUGUAUAAAUUUUAUAAAUUGUCAAUGAAUCAUAUGAUAUCUUAUCAUUAAUAAACAAUAUCAAUUUUUAAAAUAAAUAUAUUAAAAACUAAUAUUUUUUAAAAAUUUCUUCAUCAAUGAAGUAGUAUCAUUUUAUUCAUCUUAUAAAUGAAAUAUCAUUAUUUGAUUUACUUACGAUUAAAGAUUAUAUAAAACAGUUACUCCAAGUUAGUAUAUGUUUCUUUCAUUUAAAUCAUGUCAUGCACGUAACCACAUUAAUGAAAAGAGUCAAUCAUUUAUUAUACAUCACAAACAUAAAUAUGUUAAAAUAAAUAUUUAUCAUUUAAUUAUCACGUAUGAUAUAUAAUAAAUAAUUGAUUUUUUCUAAUAAUAUAAUUACAUGGCAUGAUUUGAAUAAAGAAAACAUACGCCAACGUGGAAUAUUUAUUGUUUCAUAGAACCCUUUCUCUUCACUGACAAUAGAAUUUAUACGAAUACUUAGUAUUAAAUAUCUAAUCCCAUUUGAAAGUUAUGUUUUGUCUAAAUUUAAAGGUGAUCCCUAGUCAAUCGCUUUGUCUCAAAAUUCUACCUUAUUCGCAGGAAAAAUCCGAUGAGCCAUUCAAUUUUAACGACCAUUUCUGUGCAAGAAUCCUAAUUUUAGACGCUUCCACUUGCUAUAAAACCUGCCAUGCAUUCUCAAUUCCAUCAAGCAACAAAGCAAAGACAUUGAGAAAGAGAAACUGUGUUUUCCAAUAAAGUUUCUCUUCCGUCCGACUCCCUUCAACUUGGUUGGGAAUCGGAUUGGUUUGGCUCUGUUUGCUCUAGCCAGCCACAGGGAGAAACCAUUUAUAAAAGAAAAACUAAAAAACAUUGGCUGAUAUGGCUAUGGGUAAUGUUGUUAUUUCGGGGAUUUCCAUCAUUCUUGUGGUGGGAGUCGUCCUCGGCGUUGUUGCUGCAGUUCAUCGUAGUGGCGAUGAUAAUUCCAAAUUGUCUCCACAAAUGAAGGCGGUGUCGAGUUUCUGUUCAUCAACAGAUUACCGAGGAACUUGCCAGAAGACCCUCAGCUCUGUCAACAGCACUGAUCCCAAAGAUUACGUUGCCCAAUCUAUCUUGGCCUCUGAGGAAGCAGUCAAGAAGUUCUUCAACUAUUCUGAUUCCCUUGAUCGUUUUGGCCAAGAACGAUAGCCGCACGAAGAUGGCAUUGGAUGAUUGUAAGGAGAUGAUGGACUAUGCCGUUCAGUCCCUUCAAGCAUCGUUCUCCGAGGUGGGUGAUAGUGAAUUGAGAAGCCUUAAUGAGCGAACAGCCGAUCUCAGGACCUGGUUGAGUGCUGUUAUCUCAUACCAACAGUCAUGCUUGGAUGGUUUCGAACAUGACAGCAACAUGAAACAAAACAUGGAAACUGGUAUUGUUGAUGCUAGUGAACUCACAUCAAAUGCCUUGGCAAUUGUGACAAAGUUGUCGGAUACUCUUUCUAAGUUCGGUCUCCAGUUGAAUAUUCCUACCUCCCGUAGACUUCUUUCUGUUGAGAACAAUGGCUAUCCCUCAUGGUUCUCUGCUGCAGACCGCAAGCUUUUGGCUAGGAUUGAUAACCGUAACUUGAGACCAAAUGCUGUUGUGGCUAAAGAUGGCAGUGGCCAGUUCAAGACCAUUGCUGCUGCCCUUGCUGCGGCUCCCAAGAACUCCAGGGUCCGACAUGUGAUCUAUGUCAAGGCUGGAAUCUAUGACGAGUACAUCACCGUGGACAAAGACACCACCAAUAUCCUCAUGUACGGUGAUGGCCCAAGAAGGACCAUUGUAACAGGCCACAAGAACUUCGUUGAUGGCACAUCCACCUGGCAAACUUCUACUUUCUGUAAGUUUCUAAGAACUCAGAGCCGUUAGUUGAUCAUAAAUCAUGAUUCUGCCAAAUAAAUUUGUUUUAUAUAUAAUUUCUGCUAGAAUGGUAUUAUCACACGUAUGUUAAAUAUUGGAUUUCUUGUCCUUUUAUAUUCAAGUUGAGUAUCUCUUGCUAUUGCCAAUUGGUUUUAGAUCGGGCACUUAACAAUUUGCUGAUUUUAAUGGUGCAGCCGCUAUUGGAAAUGGGUUCAUUGCCAAAUCCAUGGGAUUCCAGAACACUGCUGGACCACAAAAGCACCAGGCUGUGGCUCUUCGCAUUCAGUCCGAUAAGUCAGCCUUCUUCAACUGCAGGAUGGAUGGCUACCAAGACACCUUGUACAAUCAAGCAAACCGUCAGUUCUUCCGCAACUGUGUCAUCUCUGGAACCAUUGACUUCAUCUUCGGUGAUUCUCCUACCCUUAUCCAGAACUCAUUGAUCAUUGUCAGGAGGCCAUUGGAUAACCAACAGAACACAGUGACUGCACAAGGCAAGACCAAUGCUAAUGAGAACACUGGUAUCGUGAUCCAAAACUGCAGGAUUGUUCCCGAGCAAAAGCUCUUCGCUGACAGGUUCAGGUUGCCAACAUACUUGGGCAGGCCAUGGAAACAAUUCUCUACAACUGUUAUCAUGGAAUCCACCUUGGGAGACUUCAUUAAUCCAGAGGGAUGGUUGCCAUGGGCUGGAAGCAAUUUCCUCAACACCCUCUACUACGCUGAGUACAACAACCGUGGCCCUGGUGCCAACACCGCCAGGAGGGUUAACUGGAAGGGUUACCACAGGAUCGACAGGAAAACCGCCAUGAGCUUCACCGUUCAAUCAUUCCUUUUGGCUCGUGAAAACUGGUUGCCCUUCACUGGCAUUCCUUUCACUGCCGGGUUGAAAUAUUGAAGACAUUUUAAUGGCGAAAAUCAACAGCACAACAACCUACAAAGAAAAGAACCUUACAGUGGUCUCUUAGAAAUAGGAAAUGGAGGCGCAGCUUAUCUCAUUACAUAAUUUUCUUUUUGUAAAUUUCUGUUUAGAGAUCCCUUUCAGGGCUCUUAAGUCCAUGUCUUUGUCUUUGUUGCUCUAUUGUAAUUCAUUCAUGGAUAAAAAUAAAAAACUCAUUCGCAUAAUAUAUAUUCCAUAAUAUUAUAAACAUACAUGCAUACAUACAUACAUAUAUAUAUUAAUACUAUCUAUAUUUUCUUCUGAUCAUAUCAAUGGCGGACCAUCAUUGGAGCCUGUGGUGAAAUUUUAACGUCCAAAAAUUGGGUAGUGAAAUGUUUGUAAAAAGAGUUUUUUUUCCUCCAUUGAUGAUCAUGUUGUAUCUUUUCUUGUUAAUCCAAGAUUUGAAAGUUAAAAAAAAAAAAAAAAAAGGAGUUACAUCCAAUUGUAUAAAAACACUAUAUGCAAAAAUUAUAUAGUGGCGUAUUAUAUAACCAUGUUAGAUUCUUUUCAUUGUUGGUUUAAUUUUAAUUACUUUAAAAUUGCAUGUAAUGUUGUAAUUUUUACAAGAUAGUGCUAUGAAUGACCUUGUAAAUUAUAAUAAAAUAUUUAAAUGAUACUUAAAUUUAAAAAAUUCUAAUAUAUUACAUAAAUUAUAAAUUUAUUAAUUAAUAUGUAUUUGUUGGAGGGUUAUUUAUUCAUCAUGUAUUAUCAUUUGUGGCUAACUAUGUUAGAGAUAAAUACUCUAUUGGUCAAUAAGUUCAUAAUUUAGAUAUAAAAAUUUUUAAAAUUUAAAUAUCACACUAAAUAUUUCAUUAUAAUUUAAAAAUCAUUCAUAACAUUAUAAAAAAUGUCAAUGUCUAAGGAAAUUUACAAGCGUUAAGAGUUGAAUCUCAAUUUUAUAAAAUUUAAUUUUUUUUAAAAAAUUAGAUGAACCAUUUAGACCAAAUUCAAGUUCUCUUAAUCUAACAAUAUUUAGAAUCCGAUACUAAAAUAGAGUUUGACAAACUUGACCGUAAAAUUGGUGUACCUCCAUCUUGAAUUCAAGUAGAGUACUGUGCUGAAUCCAUAUGCUGGACUGAUGAAGAUAACAAGUACUACAGUCUUUCUUUCUUAAGGCUUCUUUACCUCUCUUCUACCAAAAAUUUUCCCCUUCAUGAAACCGUCUAGCUCAUAUUUAUGAUUAAUGAAUCCUAAUCCAUUAGGUUCGUUACAAAUUCAUUGCAAAAGAGGAACUAAAUUAGAAUAAAUAUACAUCAGAAUUUGUUGACUCUGAAACCAAAUAUAUUGCUUGGAGUGUUUUUCAAAAUUCAACUUAUUAGGGUCUCAGCUGAUUAAACAAUGAGAGUAAUUUUUAUAAAAUUAAAAACAAAUGUCAAGAUAAAAUUAAUUAUUAUAAUGAUUAGAUCAAAAGUAAUAAUAAAAUAAGCGUUUAGACGCUAAAACAAUGAUAUGAUUAGAUGAAAAUAAAAAAUAAUUAUUGAGGAUUUAAUUUAAGAGUGUGUUGAUAAAUUAUUUUUAUGCAUACUUUAAUGUUAUCUAUAGCAUGUAAAAUUUUAAAAAUUUUAUUUUCAAUCAAAAUAUUAAUAUAUAUUAUUUAUUUAUUCAUUUAUUAUAUGUUAAUAAAAAUGAUUUAUUUAUUAAUUUAUUAUAUAAUAAAAAUAUUUAUUAUAUUAAAUAAAAAAAUUUAUUUCAAUAUUUUUAAAUAAAAAAUUAAAAUGAAAAAACAAAAAAUCCUUAUAAUUUUAAGGAAAAAAUGAAAAAAAAAAAACAUAAGGGUAAAUUUGAAAAAAUAAUGCUAUGGGAGCAAAUUACUUUCUAUAAAGCUAAAAGUUCUGCUGAUUAAGUGGCACUAAUUGUGCCACAAUGGUGAUAUCCAAACACUAAAAUGUUGUUUUGAACCUUAUAAAAGUGAUCAAAUCUCACCGCACUUAUGUUUUGGUCGAAUCCAAAUGAUCCUUUAGGUUUAUGUGCGGUGUGGUGGAAUUGUAGAGAUAUUGGUGCAAUUAAGUCUCCUACAAUCUUAUAAUUUGCUGAUUUGGACCAAAGAGAUAUUGGCACGUAGACAUGAAAUCCAAGUUACUCUCAACGAAUAACGUUAACGGCAAAAAAUAGAUCGUUUCUUUGGUAGUUUCUCUUAAAUGAAAAUUUUUUUUUGUCUGUCGAAAUUGUAUCUUUUAAUUUUUCCCUUUCUUAAAAGAUCAAAAUCCUCCUAUAGCUAAAACAAUUGAAGACAAUAGCAAUCAAAUACUUUCAAAAAUCAAGGUUUUGAUAGGAUUAAAGCUUUUUCCUUUUAAUUAGCAAGUUUGCCUUUCCAAAAAUCAUUCAACCCAUCAGCCAUCUCCGUGAAAUUUUUGGUUUUUUUAUUCAAUUGACAAGUCUUCAAGGUAAACUUUAUUCAUCAACAAGGAAUUCUUGCACCUCCAUUGUUGUCUUUAAUAUGUUUGAUAAAUUAUCACAAUUUUAAACAUUCAAUUUUCUCAUUUAAUUUUUAAUUUCUUAACGAAUGGUUUAUGAUAUGAUCCAUUUAAGCAUCCUCUUGAGUUCAAAGAUACGUGAUUUCUUGAAGGAUAACUAUUUAAAAUAACUAUGUGUCGGUGUCAAAAGUAGUUUUCUUACUACCUUUUUAACUUGUUUUAUUUGUAAAUGCUUUCAGAAAAGAAAAUAUCAGGCUUGUCCAAUAAGUAGCAUAGGUGCAGAAAAGCUAUAUCAACAGGAGAUAAUCUCUUUGGUUCCAAGUGUAAGAUCUAUUGUAUUGUAGGCAUACCUUUUCAAGUUAUUAGGCGCAUGUUUCUUAACAUUUAAUCUUUCUUUAGUUUGCUUUGCAUGCAUGAAUUAAUUAAUAAAGUUUGAUUUAACUAAUUAGCUUAGAUUCACUAGCAAGAAAAACUGCUUUUGGAUUUGAAAUUGAUGCAGUUGAAGAAUUUGAUGCUGAAAAUGAUGAUAGUUAUGCUACUGGUUAGUUCACACCAAAUAAUAAUGACAGAAUCUUUUUAGGCCAAACUUACAAGUUUGCUUUCGGUAUGCCAUAAAUUCUUGGAGUCUAUACUAAAAUGAAGCUAUAUAUUAAUAUUCAUCACAUACAUUAUUAAUAGUUGUAGUUCCUUGAUAAUUGAUGUGCUAUCAAAUAGCUUUACACUUUCAAUUAGUUAAGGCUAAUUACAAUUAUAUUACAAAUCAUGACAAAUUAUCAUUAGAACAUGGCUAAUAGGAAUUUCAUAUAUGUGGAAAUAUGUUGCUAUGAUGCUCAAUUGUUAGAAUGAAGGUGGCUAUACAAUGUGCCAGAAUCAACUCAGAGGUCAUUUUAAAGAUAUUUCAGUAUGACAUAUUUAACUAUUUUUGAAGUAGGAUUUAAGUUUAUAAGACUUAUUUCUUUCCACUAACAAAUGGUCUAUUUGAUUCUUGAUGUGCCUAAAGCUAAGCCAACCCUUGAACUUGAUGACCAAUCAUUAUAUAAAGUAUAAUGCUAAAGCAAAAGAGAUAUAGGAAAAUGAAAGCAUGAUUGUUACAUAGCCAUUUGACAUUUUAACUAUUGGAAAGCAUCUUAAUUGCAGUGGACUAAAGGUAAAAUUUAAAGUAAUGUGAUUUUAGUUAUUGAAUCUUUUUUGCUGGAUUUUGAGAUUUCAAUAAAUUUAACAGUAAGUUAAGAUACUUGCUGUAGAUUUGGUGACAAAAAAAAAUGUACCGAAGAAUAAAAGAGUUCCAAUGACGACUUUUACCUAUUUUUUGCAAGUGCUUUGAGUGCAACUUAACUACUAUUUUGCAUCUUGGAAACAUUGAAUUUUCUCUUGAAAGAGAGCAUGAUUCUUAAGUCUCACCUCAAUCAAAAGGAAUUUUAUUUGAUUUGUUACUUAAGUCUACUGAAACUCAUAUUCAUUAUUUGUUGGCUUGAAUGUCUUAUUUUUGUAAAAUGACAAAGAAAACUAGUAAUUUUUUUUUGAGAAAGCUAAAUUUUAUAAUUUGUAGGAGUAAUUCAAAAGACAAGAAAGCAUUUCCUUGAAUGUAAUUAUAUAGAUUUAAUUACGUUUGCUCAUCCUUAUUAUCUUAUUCUUCAUAUAUUCUAAUUCUUAAUUUAUUUAUCUAAUUAAGCAUAAAUCAAUCAAUUUUCUAACUUUAAUUAGCCACAUAUUGGUGAUCUUUUUAAGGAUCGUGCAACCAUACAAAUUUGAACUAUUGUUAGUUAAACUUGUGUAUUUAUGAUUUCUUUGUUUACUACAUGUCACAUUUCAAAUUUUGUUUUGGUCACCAUAAGUUUUGCCAAUAAAAUUGGUAAUUUAGUUAAAUUGAUACUAACUUAAUAAUUAAAUAUAUUUUGGUAGAAAACAAAAACAAUAACGCUAAAAUUUAAGGUGACAAGUUUCCAAUAGAUAUAUCAACAAUAACAUUUUGUCUAAAAAGAAAAAAAAAUUGAAUUCAUGGGAUUUCAUCUAAAGUAAACUUUAAAUUGAUAUAACUAAAUUCAUAGACAUCAUUUUUUUUUCCAAACUCUUGACAACUUAAUUUUUAGUGACAACAUUUUAUAACUUUAGUAUUUUUAAGAUGUCAUUCCCACCAGCUGUUAAAUGUUAGUUUCAAAAUGUCAUCUUUAUUACUUAUUGAAUGUUACCUGAACUAUUAUAGAAAAUAUCAGAAAGAAACAUUUGUUUGAAGGAAGCUUUUUAAGUUCAACAUGUAGACCUUACAGGUUGUAUAAUGAAAUUCAAUUUAUGAGACUCAGGAAUAUAACACAAAAGAAAUAAGGAUUUAACCUUAUUUAAAGAUAACAUGUAGAUUUACUUAACCUAUACAUGUAAAUUGAAAUUUUCUAAAGAAAUCAUAUUUGAUUAAACCUUCUAAUGACUUGAAUUUAUAGGUUGGAUGAAGUUGCUUUGUCUUAUGUAGUAAAAUGACAUACCAAAGAAAAUGUAUGACUUAUGUUUAGAGCAAAAGAUGGUCAAGUCUACCUUGCAUUUGAGUUCUAUUCGUUAAAAUAAACAUAGGAGAAAAAUAAAAGAAAAAUUUAAGCUAUUGAAUCCAAUAUAAACAUGUAAACUUAUUGGACUUAUUAUAAAAAAUGAUCAAAUGCUAACCUGAUUAAUGAAAACAACAUUCUGAUUAAAAGGUUGAGUGCUUGGACCUUUUCAUUUUUUUGACUGAGUUUCAAAACAACUAUUAAAUUUGCGCUUACCACCAGUUUUAUCACUUUUCAUUUUUAAUCCUUGUACAUUCAUGAUUUUUAAAUCAUCUAUAACAUUAAAUUUUUUAGCAUCAUCUUCAUCACCUUUUGUGUAAGAAUCAUCAAAGUUGCUCACUGUUAAACUUUUAAAACCCAUUCAACUAGUUUUACCUAUUGAAAUCUUUUCUAUCUUAAGCAUUACCUUUAAAGAUUCUAUUAAAAGCAAUGUACCAUUCCUUUGUUUUAACAGUCCAUGUUGACAACUUAAUUGCAUUCCUACUUAAUUCUUUAUAGCUAACUUAGGAUCUUUUUUUUUUUUAGUGCUUCUAUUGAUGUCUCUUACACUUCCAAGCUUUACAGCUUUCGUCCAUCUCUUUACAAUAUAUUUCUCAGAUACAAACUUGAUAUUUUUUGAGUUUAGCAGCUUUAAGAUAUGAUAACAGAGAAUUCUCUAAAAUUCGAAUUUCAUACAAGUACAAAAAAUUGAAUUAGUUGAAGAGUUAGUUGAAAAUUCUUUUGCUAGAGAAAUAGUUUUACUUUACCUUGUAUCAUUCUUAUAUAAAUUAUGCCAUUUUUUGUAAAUCUCUUCCGAUGGUAUCCUUGAAGUUACUGCAACAUGGUUGGUUCCGGAGAAAGUCUAAUUCAAGGAAAUCAGACUCUUAAUAGUUUUGUUCUUUGGUUUUGUAUACAAUUGAGCUAGCUGAUAACAAAUAUUCUAUUUGGAGCACUCAGGUUUUGUGAUUUCACAAUUUGGUUUGAUUGAGAACAACUGAAUGAAAUGUAUACUGGUAAGUAAAUUUUGUGUUGGUGCCUAGUUUAUAAGCCACAUUAAAGCAUUGGUGAGCAAUAAUUUUGCUUUAAAAAGUGGUGUGAAAUAUAAAUGUUAAACGGAGAGGUUUGGCGAUUGUAUAUUCGGUUUGGUAUAAAAUUAAUUAAAAUUUGGUAUAUUUUUUUUAUCAUUUUUUUUACAUAAUAAUUACGUAUCAAUUAAUUUAUGUCGACAUUAAAAAUUAAAUAUAUUUUUUAAUUAUGUUAAAUUUCAUAUGUAAUUAUUGAUAAAUUUUAAGUCGUUUUAUUUUUAUGUUUUAUUUUCGAUUCAUAUUAUAUUAUUCAUUAUAUCGAACCUUAAAUUUGUUUAAAUCUAAUUCAAUUUGUAUAAUGAUUUCACCAAUAAAUCCUUUGUUAGGUUUUAGGUGACAAGAAAUUGUUGUUUUUUUUAUUUGCUGUUCGAAUUCCAAAUCGUCUUGGGAAAAAUGAUUAUUUUUUCCAUUGGAAUUCAUAAAUAGGAAUGAAAUCGCAAUUUGGAUUUGUGAUUCUUAACCAAAACUGGAGUUUGAGUGGAAAACAAAGAUUUUCACAUGUUUUAUAAACUAUUAUAAUCCAAAUCACGAUUUUGCAACACAAUUCAACUAGAAAAGGAGAAUAAAAAAGCAGAAAUAACCUUUUUUGUAAUUGUGUAUUGUAUUUCCUUUAGUACAAUUAAACAUUCUAGCGUCAACUGCUAUCCCACCAGUGCAAAAGAAAAAUAAGAAUACCAAUAUAUUUGCAAUUGGUUGGUUCGGUCUUUAAAGAUCGAUCUUUUAAAAAAUAUAAUAAAAAUCGAUUGAUUUAUUUUUAAAAAUAAAAAAUAAUUGAAUUGACAAAAGGUGAUCGAAAAAUCAAAAUUUGAAUAAAUUUUUGUCAUUAAUUUUUAAUAAUUUGUAAUAAUUUUUAUCAAAUAAAAUUUACUCUAUAAUUUUAUCAUUAAUAUUAUAUUUGUUAUUUUUAUAAAUAUAAAUUAUUUUAUCUAUAUUUAUAUUAUAUGUAAUAUAAUUUAAAAACUAUCUUUAAAAAUCAAUUAAUUUGAUUGAUUUAAUUAUUAAUUUAAAAAUAAUAACCGGUCAAAUAAAUUCAUUAAAUAAUUUUAUUUAAUAAUAAUUUUUAAAACUAAAUGGAUCAAAACAAUCGAUCGAAUUUAAUUGAUUUUGAUUAAUCAAAUCAAUCAAAAUCGAUUUAUACUCACUUUUAUUUAUUGGUAUAGUAGAAUCAAAAUUAGAACCAUUUAGUCUCUUUGGAUUGAGUCAGUAUAUUGAAUUAGAUGUGAUAAUUUAAAAUAUAAUAUGAUUAUAUAAUAUAAAUAUGAUUCAAAUAAAAAAUUAAAAUUAAUACAAUUAAAAUUUUAAUAAUAAUUAUAUAUAAAUUUAAUAAAAUUUUAAAAAUAUAUUUUAUAUUUUUAUAUUUACACGUAAAUUAUGAUUCAUAAUUUUAUAUAAAAUAUGAUAUAAAUUUAUAAAUUUAAUGUAUAUAUAUAUAUAUAUUAUAUAUAUAAACCACACACCGAAUCGUUCGUGUCUACAGUAAAGGACCCAAGGUUCAUGGUCUACAGUUAAACCAGAAAUUCACUAGUUACUGAGUUGGGUCCGGGCCCUGAGGUUAGUAACGGACUACUGUUUUUCCCACUUAAACGGGGUCAUCCAUUUCCCAAAAUAAGCCAAAAAGCAAAUUUCAUGCUUUACCAAAAUCCAGCGUUUUUAACAUUCUGUAUAUUUCUUUACUUCCCCUCACUGUGUCAAGAGAAUCUAACGCAACCAAAGAAUCUACCACUAUUUCAUUUCUCUGUAAGGACUUCAUAUCUCCCACAUGCUUUCGCUUUUAUUUACUUUCGCAGUUUUCAUUUAUUAUUUUCGUAAGUUUUAUAUGAUAUUUUUGUUCUAAUUCUAGACUCUGACAACAUUAAGCAUUUCUAGUUUUCUUGGGUGUUUUAUGGUUACCCAUCUGAACCUUGAUCUGAAUGGCCACGGUGUCCUACAGGUGUUUCUGUUUUUUAAUAAAGUAAAAGGGUCGUCGGACAGUCCAGGAAAAAUCACUUUUAGUUUUGUCUUUGAUCUCAAAGUUGGUAAAGGCGGUAAAUGUAGACCUGGCAAUUCGUGUAUCAUUGUCAUAUAUGUUUCAUUUCGUGUCAAACAUAUGUAAAAUAUGAAAAUUAUCGUAUCCAUGUCUGACAUGCCAAACUCAUAUAUGGUUUUUAUCGAAAUUUUAGACCGAGUUAUAUCGUUUAAGUGUCAUAUCAUUAUAUCUUGUCAAAAUUACUAAGUUUAGGUAACUGUUAACGGUAAUUGCUUGUUCACCAAUCAACAUGGUUGUUCUCCAAGAAUUUUUUUAGAAUGUUCAGGACCCAUCAUAAGUAGGCUUGAACAGAUACUGAAGUCAUUAGGUUGAUAAACUAUAUUAAUAUGUGUAAUUAGUAGGGUAGGGGGUUUAUUUUGCCUUAAUGGGGAUAUUAAUGUUUAAACUGAUAGGUAUGUACUGUUUCUAAUUGUUCUAAUUAAAUGCUUUAUUUUGUUUGUACUCGAAGUUGAUGAUAUGGCUGGAGUGGAGCAGAGGCAGAACAAGUCUGGAGGUGGUAAGUAUUUUUUUUGCUCAGGUUGGUUAGAUUUCAUUAGUAAUGUGCCAUAAAGGUGUGGCGGUUUCUAAUUGUGUGGAUGUUUUGUUGUUGUUGUUGAUUUUUAGGAGGGAAAAAGAAGGAAGUGAAGAAGGAGACUGGUUUGGGUCUCUCCUUUACCAAGGAUGAGAAUUUCGGGGAGUGGUACUCUGAGGUGCAAUGACUUAGUGCCUGUUAUACUAUGUUAUUGAGAUCUUAGUAUCUUAUUGUUAUAUCAUCAUCUUGGCUUUUGUAGGCUGUUGUCAAUGGUGAAAUGAUUGAGUACUAUGACAUUUCUGGCUGUUAUAUUCUGAGGCCAUGGGCAAUUUCAAUUUGGGAGAUCAUGCAAGUGAGUCAUAUGAUGUUUAUACUCAUAUUGCUCUUUAAAUGUAAAUAAGAAGUGUUUAUUAAUUACAAGGAAAAAAAAUUUAUGGAUUUCAUUCCUCGAUCUUUGUUUUCUUUCUGUUUCCUUUCAUGGUUAACUUAUCCACGGUGUUAAACUGUAGACAUUCUUUGAUGCUGAAAUCAAGAAAAUGAAAAUCAAGAACUGCUAUUUCCCUCUCUUUGUAUCUCCAGGCGUUUUGCAAAAGGAGAAGGAUCAUAUUGAGGGUUUUGCUCCAGAGGUGAGAAACAAUUUUUUUUUUUUGGCAUAAUUGACCUUGUGGAAUGCUUUGCAGCUUGAAAGUGUUGGUUUCUUUUUUUAUCAAACUUUUUGAACCCUUUUGAAACUCAUUUUGUUCCUAAACUUUUUUGCCCUGUUUUCAAUGAUUUACUUCAUUUUGUGGAAAUCCAUAGUUUAGUUUCUAUCUAGGGCUCAAAUUGGAGAAAGUUUUUUAUCUAGGGCUCAAAUUUGGCAAGUUCUUCCUCAUUUGAGCAAGAUACUUUCAUGAAUAUGCUGAAAAAAUGGCAAUAUUUCAAUGUUUUUAUACUUUUUAGCACUGGACUUAUGCAACACUUAAGUUUUAUGCAUUUUUUUACUAGAAAUGUUAUGUGAUCUAAUGAAAAAAUGACAUGUGAAUGGCUUUGGGAUCCUGGUUUAAUCAGGUUGCUUGGGUGACCAAAUCUGGGGAGUCUGAGUUAGAGGUGCCAAUUGCAAUCCGCCCAACUAGUGAGACAGUUAUGUAUCCCUAUUAUUCUAAGUGGAUUAGAGGACACCGUGACUUGCCUUUGAAACUUAACCAGUGGUGCAAUGUCGUUCGAUGGGAAUUUAGCAAUCCCACACCAUUUAUCAGGUAGUUGUCUUAAAAUUGGUCAACUUUAGCUUUUCCGGUGUUAUCCUGCAUCCUUUUCCCCCCCUCUCCUUCCACCCGGUGGAUGGGAUAUGGUAUGCCAUACAUGUAAUGAGAUGUUAAUUUUCGUAAAAUUUUCUAAUCUUGGUUCAAUUUUCUUAUCCUUAGUUAUUAAUGUUUACAGAUGAGAACAUUAUUUUCUCAAUUCUUUUGAUGCCAAGUUAGAAAAUUAAUUUAAAAUGAUUUGAUGAUAGAUUGGUCACCACUAACUUGCUUCUUAAUUGUAGGAGUCGUGAAUUUCUAUGGCAGGAAGGGCAUACUGCCUUUGCAACAAAGGAAGAGGCAGACACAGAGGUAGCAUAGACUUAAAUUUUUACCUUUGAUCAACAUUUCAACCUUAGAGAGCUGAAGUUUGCCCAUUGUUCUAUUGGUGUACAAUGGAAUAGGGAAGGUUAAAGUAAAUAGAAAUUUUGCAUGGCUGAUCCUUUUCUUUUUCAUAUUUAUCUACAAUUAAAUUUUGGUUGAAAAUGGCAUUUUUGCCUCAGAAUUGCCGAAUGAAGGAUUUAAGUAAGCAUUUCAGAAAUUUCCCAUGUGAUCUUAUUUUGAAUAAUUUCAAUAUUUUGUUGGUUUCUGUGCUGUGUCAAAAGUCAAAGUCAUAUUUCAUUGCUGUUACAGAUUUCACUUGUCUUGCCUUUUGAAGUAUCAUUGAAGGAUGUGCUAGAUCCUUAGAACCUUUUAUGUGUGUCUAAAUAUGGUUUUGUUGGUGAAUAUAUUAUGGAAGGGGGACUGAGGUGGCAAAAAUGACAUGCUGAGUUAUAUGUAUUUAUUGUUGAAAUACUUUGUGCUUGGUAGAUUUUAGACUUUAGUUCCUACUUCUAAUCACUCUUGCAAUAGUUGUACUGCUUCUCAUUUUCACAUCCUUUGCGAUAUCUCAUGCUGUUAACUAAACAGGCAAAAGAUGGACUUAGUAGCCAAUAACAAUGGUAGGGAUGUCAGCUGGGUCUCUUUACGUAUGUCUAAAUUUUGUUAUAUUUCAGGUUCUUCAAAUAUUGGAACUGUACCGAUGUAUAUAUGAAGAAUUCUUGGCUAUUCCUGUUACAAAAGGCAGGAAGAGUGAACUAGAGAAGUUUGCUGGUGGACUUUACACAACUAGUGUCGAGGUAUGGUAUAAACUAUUAUGCAUAUAUACAUGUAAUAACAAUCUCUACUUAUUGGCGUGAACAACGAACUUAAAUUGUCUGCUUGAUCAAUGUGCUUUAAUAUAAAUUGAGGAACUUUUAAUCUGUUCAUAAUAUGAUAGGCAUUUAUUCCAAACACUGGGCGUGGUAUUCAAGGUGCAACCUCCCAUUGUCUGGGCCAAAACUUUGCAAAAAUGUUUGAGAUAAACUUUGAAAAUGAAAAGGGAGAGAAGGGUAUGGUCUGGCAGAAUUCCUGGGCGUAUAGUACUCGAACGGUAAAACUUUUUGUCUCUUUACUUAGAACAUUCUUAGCAUUUAUCGUUUCAAGUCCUUUGUCAUGCUAUCCCUACCAUUUAUGUUUUGUGGUUUUGGGUGAUUACAUGGGGUUGGAAUCCUUAACUACCAUAUAAUUCCCUUUCUAUUCUUUUCUCCUUAUUCCUGCUACUCUGCUUAUGUUUUCUACUGUUUUUCAAAUUUUCUCAGAUUGGGGUAAUGGUUAUGGUUCAUGGGGAUGACAAAGGUUUAGUGCUGCCUCCAAAAGUAGCAGCUUUGCAACUUAUUGUGAUUCCUGUGCCUUACAAAGAUGCAGAUACUCAAGGUAUUUUUGAUGCUUGUGUUGCCACUGUGGCAACCCUCUCAGAUGCUGGCAUUCGCGCUGAAGCUGAUCUUAGAGAUAACUACUCACCUGCUUGGAAGUAUUCGAACUGGGAAAUGAAAGGUGUUCCCCUAAGGAUUGAAAUAGGACCUAGAGACUUAGCAAAUAAUCAGGUGAACCCCCCCUUUUUUUUGGAUGCUGC
rnacentral:lncRNA from 1 species